CCCUUAGAUGUUCUGGGCAGCACGCGCGCUACACUGACGGAUUCAACGAGCUUACAACCUUGGCCGAAAGGUCUGGGUAAUCUCCAAAAUCCGUCGUGAUGGGGAUAGAUUAUUGCAAUUAUUAAUCUUCAACGAGGAAUGCCUAGUAAGCGCAAGUCAUCAGCUUGCGUUGAUUACGUCCCUGCCCUUUGUACACACCGCCCGUCGCUCCUACCGAUUGAAUGGUCCGGUGAAGCGUUUGGACUAUGGUUUUCUGAUGGUCCGCCGUUGGAUUACCGUGGGAAGUUCGUUAAACCUUAUCAUUUAGAGGAAGGAGAAGUCGUAACA
rnacentral:rRNA from 1 species